AACCUAUUUUAUUAUGUUUAUUGAAUGUAGUCUGAAAUAAUAUCAAUAACGUUGUAUUAUUUGAAUAGACAAAAGAGAAUGCUAAUGUGAAGCUAACUGCUGAUAAAGUUUGGCUUAUCCAACACACACGUAAAAUGAUCAAGGAAAACUAGAAUGGCUUGAUACGCGGUCAAAAGAAAUCCAUGGACAGGGGUACAUGCAUAUUCUAAAGACAAAGCACAAAUAGAACAACGUAAGAUUGUGGAGCAACAACAAGAGAAAAUUCAAGAGCAACAACAACAAAUUAAAGAUUUGAUGGAAAGUCAGUUGCUACAACAACGACAAUUUGAAGAAUAUAAGGCACAACAACAAGAAGCAAUUGAAUCGAUGAAACAAAGCAUCUUACAACAGCUACAGAAUAAAGAAGUUCAAUGAUUGUCAUGAAUGCUUAUUAGGCGAACAUAUCUUCGUUGGAAAUUUUUUGUAGUCAAUGACAAAGUUGGUGAUAGCUACAAGCAUUUUGGAUGCGCGAUGUUUUGGGUUAUGAAGUAGCUAUAUGUGCACUUGUAAAUUUUUGGACUUUUUCAAAGUGCCUUUCACUUGUAAAUUUUUGCAUGAAAACUUGUAUAUGGUAGUAAAAUUAUUUUGGAAAAUUGGUUAUCUGUUACAUGUAUAUGAACUACGUAUAUUUUUGACACACGAUAAUAUUUGGGACGUGUGAUAUUUUGGGAUACGAAUUAAUAUAUAAUGAUAAUCGGUGAUAUUAGUUUAGUUGGUUAUAAAUUAUUUAUUAUUUUAAUUGUCUAGUUUAUAUAUAGAUUGUAGGUUGUUUCAGAAGAUAACAAAGUCGUUGCGAAAAAUGUGUAUGUUUUUUGCAACGGUAAUAGUUGUUGCUAAAAACAUUAAUAACAAAUUUUACUUAAUUUUUUUCCCUACAGUAAAGUCGUUGCAAAAGAU